AAUAGGCUAAUUAAGAGCGUAAGGGGAAUGCCUUGGCUCUCAGAGGCGAUGAAGGACGUGAUAAGCUGCGAUAAGCUUUGGGGAGUGGCACAAACACUUUGAUCCGAAGAUUUCCGAAUGGGGCAACCCGGCAUAUUGAAGAUAUGUCACACUGUAAAGUGAGCAAACCUGGUGAACUGAAACAUCUAAGUAACCAGAGGAAUAGAAAACAAAAGUGAUUCCGCUAGUAGUGGCGAGCGAACGUGGAACAGCCCAAACCUAUGUUGUUACGGCAAUAUAGGGGUUGUAGGA
rnacentral:rRNA from 1 species